rnacentral:rRNA from 1 species
CCUACGGGGGGCAGCAGUGGGGAAUAUUGGGCAAUGGAGGCAACUCUUACCCAGCAAUGCCGCGUGAAUGAAGAAGGUCUUCGGAUUGUAACGUUCUUUAAUUGGGGACGAAAAAAAUGACGGUACCCAAGGAAUAAGCCCCGGCUAACUACGUGCCAGCAGCCGCGGUAAUACGUAGGGGGCAAGCGUUGUUCGGAAUGACUGGGCGUAAAGGGUGUGUAGGCGGUGUAGCAAGUUAGAAGUGAAAUACCUAGAGCUUAACUCAGGUGCUGCUUCUAAAACUGCUAUACUUGAGUGCAGUAGAGGAAAGUGGAAUUCCUAGUGUAGCGGUGAAAUGCGUAGAUAUCAGGAGGAACACCGGCGGCGAAGGCGGCCUGCUGGACCGCGACUGACGUUGAGGCUCGAAAGCGUGGGGAGCGAACAGGAUUAGAUACCCGGGUAGUC